UUUUAUCGAAAAUGAUGGUUUAAAAUAUUUGAUAAAAAAAUAUGUACACAUUGAACGGUUCCUUUAAAAAGCGUAUAUGACGUAGAAUAUCCGUCGCUUAAAAGACAGACAACGAGUUCAAAGAGGUCCUGACAUUUAUUUAAAUAUCGAUAUGCACGUUUUAGUCAACUGCUAUCAAUGUGCGUGUGUUUAACCCCAUCUGUUGUUAGAUAUCAACAUAUCACUUCCUCGUUCUUUAUGGGUUAAAUAUUCUCCUAACAUGUACCACUGAGUUUAAAUGGCUAAUGAAACAAUUAUCGCCUUACUUUUGUAUUGGUGUGUGUGUGAAAUAGCUUUAUUUAACGUCCGCUUCCACCGAAGUGAUAUCGCAGACAAUUGUAUUGGUGACAAUAGAUCUGCUUUUGUACCGUGUACCACUGAGUUUACAUGGCUGAUGAAACCAUUACCGCCUUACUUUUGUAUUGGUGACAAUAGAUAAUACCUUUGAACAAUCAUUUAAUUCACCCUCUGACUAACAUCGGCUUUAUUCCCCUUUCAGAAUAACACCCUUUGAUCUGUACGCCAUUUAAACAGAAAUUAAUAAGUAAAUUUUGCCAUUCCUUGUUAAUCAUUCAUGUUAAAAACACCGGAGCUUAUUAAACACUAUGUUUCAGAUUCUUCCGCAGAUAUUCCUGAUUCUAAUAGCCAGCUGUCUUAUUAGAGCUGAAGAAGCAGUAAAACGAGUAAAACGGUCGAGUGGUGGCCGUAGUGGAGGCAGGGGGUAUAUAGUAGAUUAUGGCAGUAGGCACCAGCAGGGAUACGGUGGAGGGAGUAGCGGCCAGGGAUAUAAUGGUGGCGGAAUGUACGCUGGUGGAAACCAAGGGGGUUAUGGAGGAGGUAGUAGCAGUGGCUAUGGUGGUGGCACCAUUAUGACCGGAUAUCCUACUGGGUAUGGUAGCAGUAUGUCUGGGUAUAGUGGCAUGAUGGGCGGUUACGGUGCUAUGGUGCCUAUGUAUAGUGGAUAUGGCACCAGUGGUUAUGGUGGAAUGAUGGGCGGAUAUGGCACUGGAGGUUAUGGUGGAAUGAUGGGUGGAUAUGGCACUGGAGGUUAUGGUGGUGGAAUGAUGGGUGGAUAUGGUACUGGAGGUUAUGGUGGAAUGAUGGGUGGAUAUGGCACUGGAGGGUAUGGUGGAAUGAUGGGUGGAUAUGGCACUGGAGGGUAUGGUGGAAUGAUGGGUGGAUAUGGCACUGGAGGGUAUGGCGGGGGUUAUGGGGGUGGGAGCAGCAGUUCAAUGGUUGGUUAGAUUGUUUAGUGUAAACACUAGAAUUUCAUCGUUCAGUAUCCAGAAUACAUUGAUAUAUUACGAAAGUUCGAGAUUGAAUUAAAGGACUGCGGACUAUCGUGCCAAGGACUCACCUGUAGCUUUGAGCAAAAAUGAAAUAAAAGCUUUACAUUUA